GUUUGAUUGACAGCGGGCAACAUAGUCAGCGUGUGUUGACAUUGGAAUUACAGAGAAAACUGAAAAACAGGUGUCAUGAUUUUUUUUAAGAUUUGGCUCACAGCUAAUCUGGAUGUUUGCGACAGAGAGUGAACAAGGACGAGUUAGGCUAACAUGUCAGAUUAGCCUUUUCACAGAGGUGUCAUCGUAAGAUAAACACAGGAA